rnacentral:rRNA from 1 species
UACGUAGGGCGCAAGCGUUGUCCGGAUUCACUGGGUGUAAAGGGUGCGCAGGCGGGAAAGUAAGUUAGAGGUGAAAUCUCACAGCUCAACUGUGAAACGGCCUUUGAUACUGCUUUUCUUGAGUUAGGGAGAGGUUGAUGGAAUUCCAGGUGUAGCGGUGAAAUGCGUAGAUAUCUGGAAGAACACCGAUGGCGAAGGCGGUUACCUGGAGCUUUGCUGACGCUGAUGCGCGAAAGCGUGGGGAGCGAUCCGG